rnacentral:rRNA from 1 species
AUUGAACGCUGGCGGCAUGCCUUACACAUGCAAGUCGAACGGCAGCACGGGUGCUUGCACCUGGUGGCGAGUGGCGAACGGGUGAGUAAUACAUCGGAACGUACCUUAUCGUGGGGGAUAACGCAGCGAAAGCUGUGCUAAUACCGCAUACGCCCUGAGGGGGAAAGCGGGGGAUCGCAAGACCUCGCGCGAUUAGAGCGGCCGAUGCCUGAUUAGCUUGUUGGUGGGGUAAAAGCCCACCAAGGCGACGAUCGGUAGCUGGUCUGAGAGGACAGUCAGCCACGCUGGGACUGAGACACGGCCCAGACUCCUACGGGAGGCAGCAGUGGGGAAUUUUGGACAAUGGGGGCAACCCUGAUCCAGCAAUGCCGCGUGAGUGAAGAAGGCCUUCGGGCUGUAAAGCUCUUUUGUCAGGGAAGAAACACCGGCUCUAACACAGUCCGGGAAUGACGGUACCUGAAGAAUAAGCACCGGCUAACUACGUGCCAGCAGCCGCCGUAA